rnacentral:rRNA from 1 species
UACGGAAGGCAGCAGUGGGGAAUAUUGCACAAUGGGCGCAAGCCUGAUGCAGCCAUGCCGCGUGUAUGAAGAAGGCCUUCGGGUUGUAAAGUACUUUCAGUCGUGAGGAAGGUGUUAAGGUUAAUAACCUUAGCAAUUGACGUUAGCGACAGAAGAAGCACCGGCUAACUCCGUGCCAGCAGCCGCGGUAAUACGGAGGGUGCGAGCGUUAAUCGGAAUUACUGGGCGUAAAGGGCACGCAGGCGGUUAAUUAAGUUGGAUGUGAAAUCCCCGGGCUUAACCUGGGAAUGGCAUUCAAGACUGGUUAGCUAGAGUCUUGUAGAGGGGGUAGAAUUCCAUGUGUAGCGGUGAAAUGCGUAGAGAUGUGGAGGAAUCCGGUGGCGAAGGCGGCCCCUGGACAAAGGCUGACGCUCAUGUGCGAAAGCGUGGGGAGCAAACAGGGAUUAGAUACC